rnacentral:tRNA from 1 species
GCCAGAGUAGCUCAGCGGUAGAGCACUGCUUUCGUAAAGCAGGGGUCGUCGGUUCGAAUCCGAUCUCUGGCUCCA